UACGAAGGGGGCUAGCGUUGCUCGGAAUCACUGGGCGUAAAGCGCACGUAGGCGGAUUGCUAAGUCAGGGGUGAAAUCCUGGAGCUCAACUCCAGAACUGCCUUUGAUACUGGCGAUCUUGAGUCCGGGAGAGGUGAGUGGAACUGCGAGUGUGGAGGUGAAAUUCGUAGAUAUUCGCAAGAACACCAGUGGCGAAGGCGGCUCACUGGCCCGGGACUGACGCUGAGGUGCGAAAGCGUGGGGAGCAAACAGG
rnacentral:rRNA from 1 species